UCCGAAGAGCAGAGUUCAGUUGUUGGUUGCAAGAAAGUGUCUGUCAUCGUGUCCAAGAGGAAGUGAGCUCUCUGAAUGAUUCCAAUUACCUUGAACACAUUUUCUCACUCUUGACUGGGCGACAACUGGAUGGAGCUGUGGAAAUGGCUGUUUCUAAAGGAGAUGUUAGACUAGCUUGUUUGUUGAGUCAAGCUGGUGGGUCUACAGUAAACCGUGCUGAUGUUGCACGGCAGCUUGAUCUUUGGAGGAUCAAUGGGCUAGAUUUCAAAUUCAUUGAAAAGGAAAGAAUAAGGCUGUAUGAGUUGCUUUCUGGUAAUGUUCAUGAUGCAUUAAAUGAUGUUAA
rnacentral:misc_RNA from 1 species